CUCAUAUAUAUUGAUCUUAUCAAAGAGUUUUAUUCUAAUCUAGUUUUCAUUGAUGGAGUUUUGAGGUCAAUUGUCAAGGGUGUCCAAAUUAUACUUAAUGCUCCUAGGCUAGGUAGACUCCUUCAGAUGCCCUGUGAAGGUAGCUGCCUAGAUAAGCUUCCAAGAACAGAAAUCAAGCUUAGGACCAUCAUAGGAAGAGAGGAUAUGGAGGGGUUUAUGAAAAUUGAGGCCAAGGAUUUGAGUGUAGAGAUGAGAUUGCUCCACCACAUGGUGUCCAAGAUUUUCUUUUUCAGAGGAAGAAGAUAUGAUUUGAUGACUGAUCG
rnacentral:lncRNA from 1 species